rnacentral:ncRNA from 1 species
UAAAGAACAAUGAAAAGAUGAGUACAGGUAUUUCAUUAUUCUCAGAGAGUCUACGUGUGGUGUGAGUAGAUAAUAAUACUGCUUGGAAAAUGGUCUUGAAGCGUCGUAACACUGAGCCUUAAUGUAAAGUUUUACUGGGUACGCCCAUUAUAGCGUGCGGGUAUGUUGGUACUCAGUGAGGGAUUAUGCUUUUUCAUAAUCUAAAUUAAGGUGGUAACACGAUUCAAUGUCGUCCUUACU